AUUGAACGCUGGCGGCAUGCCUUACAUAUGCAAGUCGAACGGCAGCACGGGUGCUUGCACCUGGUGGCGAGUGGCGAACGGGUGAGUAAUAUAUCGGAACAUACCCUAGAGUGGGGGAUAACGUAGCGAAAGUUACGCUAAUACCGCAUACGAACUAAGGUUGAAAGUGGGGGAUCGCAAGACCUCAUGCUCAUGGAGUGGCCGAUAUCUGAUUAGCUAGUUGGUGAGGUAACGGCUCACCAAGGCGACGAGCAGUGGCUGGUUUGCGAGCACGACCAGCAACACUGGAACUGAGACACGGUCCAGACUCCUACGGGAGGAAGCAGUGGGGAAUUUUGGACAAUGGGGGCAACCCUGAUCCAGCAAUGCCGCGUGAGUGAAGAAGGCCCUUGGGUUGUAAAGCUCUUUUGGCAGGGAAGAAACGGUCUACUCUAAUACAGUGGGCUAAUGACGGUACCUGAAGAAUAAGCACCGGCUAACUACGUGCCAGCCGCCGCAGUAACAC
rnacentral:rRNA from 1 species